CAUGGCUAGCUGCACCCAGAUGGAGACAGACCAAGAGCUCACCUGUGUCCUGAGAGCCAGCCAGGCCCGGAGGAUCCAGGAAGCACUUCCGAUGGCCGUCUCACCUCCCUCCCCACGGCGGCACCCUCUUUUGCAGGUGGAAAACUUUCACAAUGGCAUUACUCACGCAGUCUUACACAGGCUGGCACAAUGUGACCUGCUCCAGAUGACUCAGGGUCACUCAGCAAGCUAUUGUUCUGAGGGGUUGGUGCAGAUCUCCCUCUGGGUGCAUGAGCACGGCAGGCUGGCAGAGCUACGAAAGAGAGAUUUGUGUGGUUCCUGCUUCCUGGAGACCACAUCAUCACGUGUAUGCCUGGUAUGCGCUUUCUUUCCUGGGGGCCGGGACGCUGGAUGGUAAAGUCAAAGACUGGGACUUCCUCUUGGAGAAGACAGAGCACUUCUGCUGCGUUGCCCCCAAGAAUCCGUCAUAAUGCAUCAGGCACGAUUUCGUCCGUGGAGUUUGGAGUGGAAAAAAAUUGCUUUACCCAUUUGUAUUUCAGUCAUGUGCAGGCCGUUCCUUCAUCUGUAACAUCAUCUUCAAAUAAAAAGGAGAGUG